rnacentral:rRNA from 1 species
UCUAGUUAAUUCUACUAGUAAUUAUAUACUUAUCUUAAAAAUUAAGUUAUAUAUAUUGAAGUAUAAGUAAUUAUAUAGUAAAACUAAAAAUAUCUUAUUAUAUAAGUUAUUACUUAUUUAAUAGUAUCUUACUAUUUAGAUAACUAUAGUAAUUUUAAAGUUAAUAUAUACUAAAGAUUUCGAUUUUGGAAGGAAUCUAUUUAUUAGAUUAAAAACUAAUACCUUUUAGGGCUUACUGGUAAUUGAGAAUAAUCUUUUAAAUUAUAUAGCCUUAUGCUGACGAUAGUUUAUUUAAAUUUCUUUCCUAUUAACUUUUGAUACUAAAGUAGUAUUUUAGUAUAGUUAUAAAAGGUAAUAAAGGAUUAGGAUUUAACUCUAAAGAAGAAGCUUGAGAAAUAGCUAUUCUAUUUAAGGAUAAUAGUAGGUAUGUAAAUUACCUAUUUUCGAUAUAGUAAGGUAGUAAUAAUAAAUAUUAAUCUAGAGUGUUUUUAGGUUUUAUAAUUAGAAUAAAUAUAAUUUAAAUUAUUUAAUAAGGAGGAAUUAGAAGGUAAGUUUAGUGUUAGCAGCUAUAGUAAUUCCAGCUUUAAUAGUAUAUAUUAAAGUUAUUAUAGUUAAAAAGCUUACAGUAGAAUCUUAAGUCUGGCUGGCUGGUCUGCCUUACUGUAUAUACUAGUUUAGCUAGAUUUUUCCCUCUGUGGAACUAUAUACUUUUUACUAAGUAUACUGGGGAAAUAGAAUUUUUACUUUAAAAAACUUAGAAUACUUUAGGUAGACUUAUACUGAAAUAUAUUAGUAUAGAGUAAUAGAAUGGGAUAUAUAGUUUUAUUUUAUUAGUUUCUAGAAUUGCUAUAAUAAUUAAUAGGAAUAGCUAGAAAUACUUAUAUUUAAUUAUUAGAGGUGAAUAUUUUAGAUUUAUUAAAGACUGACUACAAUAAAGGUAUUUACUAAAGAUACUUUUAUUUAUUAGAAAAAAAGGUUAGGAAAUUGAAUAUAAUUAGAUAUUAUUAUAACUAUAAUUAUAGAUUAUAUUAGCUAGAAAUUAGAUAAUAUUACUUUUUAACUUAUUUAGUAUCUUAUAAGAAAUUAAAAUAUUCAGACUUCAGGGAAAAUAUAGUUAUAAAGUUAAAACUUAAAGAUAUUAAUAGAAGGAUAUUAUUAGAGGUAAAUAAUAGCUAUUUAAGCUUUACCCUAAAUAGUAAGUCUGUUCAAGGUUUGGUAGCUAGCUUUAAAUUGCUAGUUACCUUAGUGAUAGUAAUAUCUUCUAAUUAUAGCAAAGUCUUAAAAAAUAAUACUUCUAAGUAGUAUUAAAAAGAGAUAUUAUAGCGGCAGUAUAAUAGCUACCAGUAUAAAGAUAAUAUGCUACUUAUAAGGUAAUUUAUAGUUAGGCUUCUAAUUAUAGGGAAGAUUUAGAAAUUUCAUAGAUAUAGGUAGUAGUUUUAGAUAUUACUCAAAAUAGAGUUUAUAUUUACUUAGGAAAGUAUAAAUUAAUUAGUAUAUUAUCUAAAAAGAAAGUCUAUAGCUUAAUUUAACUUAAUAUAGAGAAACUUACUAAGUUUAAAUAUAAUAAAGAUUAAUAGAUUGAAAGCUUUUUCUUAAUUUUAUAGGUAGUAGUAUACUAACCUUUUAGGGAGAUUAUUAAUUUAAGCUAAUAGAAGUUUAAGGGAAUAAUUAGUUCAAAAUAUUUUUAGACAUUUUAAAUUAUAUAUAUAUUAUACUAAUAGAAUUAGUAAGUAUUUCCUUAGCUGGAA